rnacentral:lncRNA from 1 species
GGCUGCAGACCUGCCGGGGCGCAGAGAUGGAGAUGCCCAGAUGGCAGGGAGAGAUCCUAAACCCUCAGCCUUGCCCUGGCCCACCGCGGAAUGGCCCGGAGAGAUGGGGGGUUGGGGAAGAACAACAGGAUGGGGAAGGGAGGGCCAAUCAGGCUCAUCUGAAUGUAGGUCAGCCACACCCCACAUAUUGAAUACCAAGAAUCCAUCCCCUGAGAAAGGGCACCCAGGCCGGCCCUACCCCCAGCCUCGCGUCUGGUCCAAGGAGGUCCCAGGGCAGGAAUUAGAAGAGCAUGUCACUAUAUUUCCAGUUGGGGAGGGGUGCUGAGUCUGAGUGAGGAGGUGGUUUCAGUGCCAGGAGGAAUAGAAACUGGCCUGCGGACUGAAUGGGCCUUGAACCCCUGUGACCACUCCCUUCAAGAAUGUGCCCCAACCUUACGGACAAGUGACUCAAAGGAGCCUGAGGGGGAUGGGAGCAAGGAUUUGGCGUGAGUACCUCCCCCACAUGCACAUACAUACAUGUUCCCUUCCCACCCAACUCCUGCCAAAGUUCAGAGUGUCUAUCCUUGCCCUUUCUGUGGCCCCAACUACCCUGGCUCACAGUGCUGCCUGGAAUAGGGGGCCACCAUGCCUCCACCCUCCCCAGGUCUCACUUCCACCUCUGGGCCUGAGUGCCCUGGGCUGGGUAGGCUGGUGAGGGUUGGCCUGUGGGCACCAGUGGUCUCCCAGACAAGGCCCAGGGAAGAUGUGCUGUGUGGGUGAGCAGCCCUGUGUGUGGGCGCUGGAAAAAACCCUGACCUAGGAGUUCAAAGACUGGGUUCUCAUCCUGGCUUAGUCACAGACUUAUUGGAUGUCUUUGAGUAAGACCCUUCCCUUCUCCAAGGCUCCAUUUUCUUACAUGUAAGUGGAGACAGUUGGGGUAGAUUAUUUCCAAGGUUCAAAUCAUACUUUCAUGCAGUACACUGGACCUUAAGUGAGAGGAAGUGGCCUCAGGAAUAGGAUGCUUGGCUUGCUCACUUUCGGCAAGUGGAGAAGAGGUUUAUCUUUGCUGAAUCUAAAUUUUCCUUCUUUCUUUCUUCCUUUCUUUUUUUGACACAGGGUCUUACUCUGCCAUCCAGGCUGGAGUGCAGUAGCAAUCAUAGCUCACUGCAACCUCAAACUCCUGGGCUCAAGUGACCCUCCUGCCUCAGCCUCCUAAGUAGCUGGGACUACAGGCACGUGCCACCAAGUCUGGCUAACUUUUAAAUAUUUUGUAGAGAGGGGCUCAUAUGUUGCCCAGGCUGGUCUCGAACUCCUGGGUGCAAGCCAAUGGCUUCCCAUAGUGCUAGGAUUACAGGCAUGAGCCUCCACACCCAGCCCCUUACAAGGUUUUUAACACUUUAAAAAAA